UACGUAGGGUGCGAGCGUUGUCCGGAAUUACUGGGCGUAAAGAGCUCGUAGGUGGUUUGUCGCGUUGUUCGUGAAAACCUGAGGCUUAACCUUGGGCGUGCGGGCGAUACGGGCAGACUGGAGUACUGCAGGGGAGACUGGAAUUCCUGGUGUAGCGGUGGAAUGCGCAGAUAUCAGGAGGAACACCGGUGGCGAAGGCGGGUCUCUGGGCAGUAACUGACGCUGAGGAGCGAAAGCGUGGGUAGCGGACAGG
rnacentral:rRNA from 1 species